rnacentral:rRNA from 1 species
AUUGAACGCUGGCGGCAGGCCUAACACAUGCAAGUCGAGCGGAUGAAGGGAGCUUGCUCCUGGAUUCAGCGGCGGACGGGUGAGUAAUGCCUAGGAAUCUGCCUGGUAGUGGGGGAUAACGUCCGGAAACGGGCGCUAAUACCGCAUACGUCCUGAGGGAGAAAGUGGGGGAUCUUCGGACCUCACGCUAUCAGAUGAGCCUAGGUCGGAUUAGCUAGUUGGUGGGGUAAAGGCCUACCAAGGCGACGAUCCGUAACUGGUCUGAGAGGAUGAUCAGUCACACUGGAACUGAGACACGGUCCAGACUCCUACGGGAGGCAGCAGUGGGGAAUAUUGGACAAUGGGCGAGAGCCUGAUCCAGCCAUGCCGCGUGUGUGAAGAAGGUCUUCGGAUUGUAAAGCACUUUAAGUUGGGAGGAAGGGCAGUAAGUUAAGACCUUGCUGUUUUGACGUUACCAACAGAAUAAGCACCGGCUAACUUCGUG